GUGGGGAAUCUUGCGCAAUGGGCGAAAGCCUGACGCAGCCAUGCCGCGUGAAUGAUGAAGGUCUUAGGAUUGUAAAAUUCUUUCACCGGGGACGAUAAUGACGGUACCCGGAGAAGAAGCUCCGGCUAACUUCGUGCCAGCAGCCGCGGUAAUACGAAGGGGGCUAGCGUUGCUCGGAAUUACUGGGCGUAAAGGGCGCGUAGGCGGACAGCUUAGUCAGAGGUGAAAGCCCAGGGCUCAACCUUGGAAUUGCCUUUGAUACUGGCUGUCUUGAGUUUGGGAGAGGUGAGUGGAACUCCGAGUGUAGAGGUGAAAUUCGUAGAUAUUAGGAGGAACACCAGUGGCGAAGGCGGCUUGCUGGACAUUAACUGACGCUGAUGCGCGAAAGCGUGGGGAGCAAACAGGAUUAGAAACCCGGGUAGUCC
rnacentral:rRNA from 1 species